rnacentral:tRNA from 1 species
UCUUGUAAAGUAAUUUAUACAUUUAGUUUCGACCUAAAAAUAGGUUUGCAAUUUAAAACAAGCUACAAGAA